CUACGGGUUGCUGCAGUCGAGAAUCUUUUGCAAUGGGGGAAACCCUGACAAUGCGACGCCGCGUGAGCGAUGAAGGCCUUCGGGUUGUAAAGCUCUGUCAAGUUGGACGAAAGCCUGGAUAGUAACUGAUCUCAGGCCUGACGGUACAACUAAAGGAAGCCACGGCUAACUCCGUGCCAGCAGCCGCGGUAAUACGGAGGUGGCAAGCAUUAUUCGGAUUUACUGGGUGUAAAGGGCAUGUAGGUGGUAAUGUAAGUCAGAUGUGAAAUCCUCUGGCUCAACCAGAGAACUGCAUUUGAAACUGCGUUACUUGAGGACAGGAGAGGAAAGUGGAAUUCCCGGUGUAAGGGUGAAAUCUGUAGAUAUCGGGAGGAACACCAGUAGCGAAGGCGACUUUCUGGACUGUUUCUGACACUGAAAUGCGAAAGCAAGGGGAGCAAACAGGAUUAGAUACCCGUGUAGUC
rnacentral:rRNA from 1 species